CCGGCCGCCUCGGCCCCGGCCCCCGCGCCGCUGGGCGCCCCCCGCCCGCUGCUGACCGAGGUAGAGCACGACGGGGAUGAAGCCCCAGCGGAUGGCGAACUGCCCGCCCUUGAAGAGCUGCUGCAGACGCUGCUUGGCCUCUUUGCUGAGCUUCGGCAUGCCGGCGGCGGCGGAGAGAGGAGGCGGAGCCCGGCCGCUCUGGGAAGGCUGCGCCAGCGGCGGUGGGCGGGACCCCAUCCCCCGGCCGCCCAGCCAGCGCCUCGGCGCCGGAGCCCGGCAGCAGGAGGGAGGGGACCGGCCUUUCCCCGCGGUGGGCGAGGAAAUGGCGGCCGCGGGGCUCCUCCCUCUCCAGAAGGCCGCUUCUCCAGGCAUGCGCAGGGUGCAGGGCGCUUCCCGCAACGGCCCGGCCGCAGAGCUGGCAGUGGUGGUGCAGCAUGAGGCGGUCACCAAAGCUGCGGGCCUUUCUAAUGCCUCUUAUGUGCCCUGCGUGCGUGUAAUGUCUGUAUGUCUCUCCCGGAGCUCCCAAGGUAUGCGCACACUUUGCACGCCGCCUCCGGAGCCUUGGAAGUGCCCUUUGAGUGCACAAACAGCCCUUCCUGAUGUAAACCAGUCCGUGUGCUUGAGAAGGUGUUGCCAGUAUCUUGCAGCUCCUGUUGCACCUCAGAUGUUAGAGGGUCUAAGAGUUCAACAGUCCUUUGAUGUGCCAAAGGGUAGAAGAGAUAAUCAGCCAUCUUCCUUGAAAGGUCAAACUGCUCCUGAGGCCAGCGAAGGAAAAAGAGCAGUCUGAGGUAGCAGUCACAGGAGAUUAGGUGCUGUUAAGUGUAAUGAAGCAUGAAGAUGAUAAAUGAACCAGAGGUUUUUCAGCCUGAACACAUCCUCCAGUUUGUUUUCCAGACAAAUGUCACCUUGGGCUUGAAAUCGUGCUGGAUGUAUCUAUGGCAUUAGGCUCAGUUUACAAAGGAGGACUUGGUGUUUGCAGAGUGACCAGCACUUUGAAGGCUGAAAAAACAUCAGAGCACAAAUAUUUCUCACCAGCUACCUGGCAAGUUGCGGUGUCCCUGACAUCAAGGAAAUGGUCUGUGACUUACAGGGAAGGUCGUGCUUGCUGCAAGAAUUAUACUAGUGUCCAGAUUAGCAUGCCUUAAAUUAAUUCUGAAAAGCCUGCAGCUCACACCCCUAUGUGUAUAUAGAUGCUUAUGCGUGCAUUACAUAUAUGUGAUAUAUAUGUGUAUAUGUAUCUUCUCCAUCUCAGAACUAGCAAAGAUUCAAGACUCCAGGUAAAGUCAGGAUUUCACCUCAUGUCAGCAAUAAUGUGAAACUUCCAUCAACAACCAUCAAGAAGACGUUAAACCAGGAUAACUAACAGUAAAUUCAGAGGAGUAACUUCAUGACACUGGGGGUGUGUGUUCAAAUCCUCCAGCACACAUCAGAGGGAAUACACGCUAUCAGUUUCCCAUUUACUAUUUUGGCAGGCAUAGUUUUGUUCUUUUUCAAGCUAUUUAUAUUUGCCACCUCAGUGUUUUAAUUAUUUUACACUUCAGCAUUUAAUAAGCCUCCAGUGCUUGAGCAGACACAGGGGACAGAGCGCCCCGCCCCCCCCAAUUUUAGAGGUUUUUUUACUGAGUAUGAUAGCUUGACAUUUACAAGCAUUGUUUACAUUUCAACAGACCAUUCAUCUGUACGCUGUCAAAGAUUGUGAAGCAUCAAUUUUUGUAUUUUAGACAUAUUACAGAUACUUAUAAGAGGAGAUCAAGAACAUCUACAGCAGCUCUAGAGAUUUGUAACAGGAAAAUGAAGGCUGGUGUGAAUGAAGUAAGAAUGGAAAGAUGUGCAAGCACCAGCAGGAACAGCACAAUAAGAGGUUAAAAGACCACACUGUUUUGUUAACACAGAAAACCAGUCCCAGCAGAAAAAAUUAAGGAAUUGCCCUGUUUAUGUCAAGGCCAACAAACUGCACUAUGAAAACAGCCACAACACAGGAGACCUGUCAGCAAAAAACCCAGCAUCCUGACCCCAGGAGGAUGGUAAUGAGGCUCCAGCACCAGAUCCAUCUGCCUUUUCUUAGCCCGUCAGGAAAACACACAUGGUCAAAACAAAGAAAAAAAGACAUCAGGCAGCAACCCAGCCAAUUGUUUCUAUAGAACGAAGUAAGCAAGAUUUAAGGUAAAAGAUGGCCACAAGCCAGCUGAUGCCUCCUAAGGGAUAGGAAGAUCUAUCCAGAAACUACUUGGUUGUCACCAGUCAAGGAGAACUUCAGACAUUCCUGAGGCAUCCCUGCUCCUUUAUGUCAAACACAAAUAACUUGGACUCAUGUAUUUUGGUACUCAUGAA